GGGAAACCCUGACGCAGCAACGCCGCGUGGGUGAUGAAGGCCUUCGGGUCGUAAAGCCCUGUCAGGUGGGAAGAAACUUGUGGAUGUUAAUACCGUCCACACUUGACGGUACCAUCGGAGGAAGCACCGGCUAACUCCGUGCCAGCAGCCGCGGUAAUACGGAGGGUGCAAGCGUUGUUCGGAAUUAUUGGGCGUAAAGCGCGUGUAGGUGGUCAGGUAAGUCAGAUGUGAAAGCCUUCUGCUUAACAGAAGAAGUGCAUUUGAAACUGCUUGGCUAGAGUACGGGAGAGGAGAGUGGAAUUCCCGGUGUAGAGGUGAAAUUCGUAGAUAUCGGGAGGAACACCAGUGGCGAAGGCGGCUCUCUGGUCCGAUACUGACGCUGAGACGCGAAAGCGUGGGGAGCAAACAGGAUUAGAUACCCUGGUAGUCCACGCCGUAAACGAUGGGCACUAGGUGUAGGAGGUAUUGACCCCUUCUGUGCCGAAGCUAACGCAUUAAGUGCCCCGCCUGG
rnacentral:rRNA from 1 species